CUGCAUUCUCUUCUUGCUUACAUGAUUUCUGAGAACGCUGGUGUAAUUCUUAACUUUGUCGUUCAGUAGGUAAGGUCUUAUCUCCCUGCGUUUUUACAAGAUUUUCUUUGUUUUUGAUUUUUACACAUUGAAUUUGAUAUGUGUACUUAUAAUUUUUUCUGUAUUUACCUUGCUUAUUGUUGUAAAGGUUCUUGAACCUGAGAUUUGGUGUGUGUCCUUCAUUUUAGAAAAUUCUGAGCUACUAUUACUUCAGUUAUUUUUUAUGUUCCUCUCUUCUUCUAGAGUUCCCAUUAUGGGCAUGUUAUGCCUUUUGUAAUUGUCCCACAAUUCUUGAAUGUUCUGGGGUUUUUUUUUUCUUCUUUUGUUUUCUCUUUGUCUUUCAGCCUAGGGAGUUUCUAUUGACUUAUCAUCCAGCUCACUGAUCUUUUCCCCAGUCAUUUCUAACCUGAUCAUCCUUCAAGGCAUUCUUCAUUUCUGCCACAAUGUUUUUUUGUAUCUCCCAUUUCCUUUUGAUUCUUUGUUAGAGUUUCCAUUUCUUUUUGAUUAUGUUACUGAACUGUUCUUUUUUAUAGGUAUUAAUUUUAGGGUAUAGUAGUUUUUAAAAAAUGCUGGUUUUCAUUGUGGGAUUUUCAUACAGGCAUAUAACAUAUUUUGAUCAUAUCUAGCCCCCUAUUACCCUGCCUCACACCUACUUCUUCCUCUUCUUUAUUCCCUUUCUCUGGUCAAGUAGUGUCCCUCCUGCUUUCAUGUCCUUUUUGAAAAAAUCCAUGUACUUAUCUUUCUGAGUCUGGCUUAUUUCACUUAAUGUGAUGGUCUUUAUUUCCAUCCAUUUUCCCACAAAUGACAUAAUUUUGUUUCUUCUAUGGCUGAAUAACACUCCAUUGUGUGUACAUAUCAUAUUUUCUUCAACCAUUGAUCUGUUGAUUUUCAUCUAGACUGAUUCCAUAUCUUGGCUAUUUUGAAUUUGUGCCACAAUAAACAAUGAUAUACAAGUUUCUCUAUAGCAUACUGACUUUAAUUCUUCUGUUCCCCAUGUGUUCUUAAAUGUUUUCUACUUUUUCCAUUGGUUCUUGCUCUGAUUCAACUCUACUCAUUGCAAUUUGAUUCUGGCACCAUCUGUAAUUCACAAGUUAAUUGUUUAGCCCUCCACAAGACUGCCUCUUACUCUAGAUGCCAGCAGCAAGUGUGGUCCCCAUAUUUCCUAUGCUUCUGACUGACAAGCUAUAAAUUUUGAAGUCCCAACAACCACUCCAAUUUUGAUAAUUCACUCUAAUGAUUCACAGAACACAGUACAAAUGCUGUACUGCUGGGGAUUUAGCUCAGUGGUUCUGCCACCUGGCUCGCAAGUGCAGCUUCCCGAAAAUGCUGUUCUUACAGAUACAGUUUUAUUAUGAAGGAAACACACAAGAAAAGUUCUGGAAGGGCCGGGAUUCAGUGCUCUUGUAUCCUUUCUAUGGAAUCUGGAUGUAGCAUUGUCUGUGCACCACAGUGUGUUCAUGAUUUGGGAUGCUCCACUCGGUGUCCAGAGUUUUUGUAUGGGCUGUCAUCACACAGGCAUGACUGUGUAAACCACUGGGCAUGUGACUGAGUUCAAUCUUCAGUGCUUUCUCCUUCAUGGAGGUCAGACUGGCCCAGGAUUCCAGCCUUCUAAUCAUGAGUUUGGUCUCUCUAGUGACCAGCCCUGAUCCUGAAGCUAAUUAGGCAUCUACCGUGAGUCAUUUCAUUAAGAUCAACAUUAACACAAACAUGCCCAUAACUCAGGAAGUUCCAAGGGAUUUUGAAAUUCUUUGCCAGGAAUGGGAUCAAAGACCAAAUAAAUUCUUUAGCAUACCAUAAAACCUUUAAUAUAUCAAUCACAGUUGUUGUAAGCUUCUUAUCUGACAAUUUCAAAAUCUGUGUUAUAUCUGAAUCCAGUACUGAUGCUCAUUCUGUUUCUUCAGAUCGCAUUUUCUUCUUGCCUUUAGUAUAUCCAAAAUUUUGUUGUUGGGCACUGAGGCAGUCAGGCUAUCAGUAUAAAGAUGAUAUUAGUCUGGCCAGGACCUGGGUGUUUCCUGUUUAAGGUUUAUUAUAACUGUGCACCAAAGAUUCCAUUUUUCUCUAAUUUCCCAUUGUUUGCCACUUCCAUGCUGUCUCCAAGUCUCCUAAGAACCUCUUCUUAAAUAGAAUGUCUCUCUUAGGUGUCUCAUUUGUAACCCACUGUUUUUAUAUAGGAGCUCUGUCAGUGUAGGGAUAAGAUUUUGAGGAAGGGAAGCAUUCCACCUUAAAAUUAUAUAUCAGUUUUUUUAAUGGACUUGAGUUCCCGAGUUGUAGCCAUCAGUAACUUUUCUCAACUUUUUUUUCCUAUUAUGCAAGACAGAAAAUCUAGAAUGACUAACAAUGUCUAGUUGCUCUUCCUCUUCAUCAGAUAAGGCUGUAGCAAAGUAGCUUCCCUUGAGCACAAUCUCAUUAGAGAAAGUAGAACUGUCUGGGCUUAUUUCAAAGUGGUUACUUCUGUUCUUCACUGCUCACAGAAGAGAAGAUUGUCUCUCAUAUUUUACUCACCCCUGGUGGGUCUUCUGAAGGCCAAACCCACACCAGUAUAGGAGGCCCCCUAAAACUGGGUACAGUGGAUUUUAACUCUGGAGUUAGUCUGAAGUCAGCUUUCAGCAGUUCAUCAGUUGCUGUUUAUUUGUUCCUACCAGUUUCUAUCUCCAUAUGUCUCUGGUCCCGGUAAACUGUGAUUCUCUAUAUUUGCAUGUCUGUCUGGUUUUUGCUGUGGCAGUUUGUGAUGUGACCUCAGUGCUCUUGCAGAUCUAAUUAAAGUUGCUGAUUUUUAGUUUGUUCAGCUGUUUUUGUAUAGUCAGAACAGGAAAGAUAAUUUCAGAGCUCUUUGUGUGUCAGAGCUAAUCAGGAGGCAUGACCAGUAUGCAACUAGAAGCAGGGGUCUGAAAUCCAUAUGUACUUAGGCCAUGGCCCAUGGGGACAGGCAUAUUGAUUACUUCCAGUGGUCACUGACUCCUUCAUAAAACCAGCUUUUCAGCUAAACUGCAUUCUACAAAUGUACUACUUGCUAGGUUACUGGUCAAUUAAAUGCAGUCUUCAAAAGAAAGACCUUUUAGUGAGAUUUGGCUUUGUGAUUUGAACUGGCCUUUUUGUUUCCACUCUGUCCAAUCCCAGAGGCCUUUUCAGCUGGUGAAUGGGUUUCUCAUACGUUCUGUGCAUUGCUAUUACUCUUAAUGUAUUCUAGAACAUGAUUUUUCUGGCUUGUAAGCAUCUCCAACCCAACUUAUGAGUUUUCAGCUCUUUGGAUUUAAAUCAGAAACAUUUUAGUAAGUCUGAGCCCUAGAGACCCACUACUAAUAAGACUAUCACUAGGAUGAAUGGAUGAAGGGUGUGUGUGUGUGUGUGUGUGUGUGUGUGUGUUCAAACCUGUAUCAGUGAUUUUAUAAAUUUAUACCUAUGUUAUAAAUUUAUGUAUCUGAUUUCUAUGCUAGGUCUAGUAAUAUAUAUAUAUAUACAUAUAUAUAUACACUUAUCUAAAUCUUUUUGAACAAUUAUAUAAUAAGAAUUAUUUAAUACCUAUCUUUGUAAGCACAUUUAUAAACUUUUGACAUGAGAUUUGUAAGUUCCUAACCAGCAUUAAUAUUAUAUUAAGAAAUUUGUAAUAAAAGUGUCUAACAUCUCUUUUCAUAAAAUAUAUAACAGUUUAGAAAAAUAGUGUAUUUUAAGGCAUAUGUGGAGCAAACUGACAUAUUCUUUCAUCUACAAAAGUUGCAAGAAGUUCAUGAGAAACAAAAAGAUUGAGUUGUCAGUAUUCAUAGUGCUUCUCCCUGUUCAUUUAUUACUUUGUGCACCAGCAUAUUCUGGUAAAUGCUUAAUAACUGGUUCUCCCAAAAGAAAUGCCCCAAGUGUGGAAUCUAUUAACUUCUUUAGUGCAAAUACCCCCAUAAUGGUCAAUUCCAGGGCCGCGUAACACUGAGUAGCAGAGGCAUGCACUAAUCAGAUCUCAUUAGGUCCUAAGGACUGACUGGAGCAUUUGCUGCCUGUAAACAGGAGACAAAGGAUUGUUAGGGGCAUCAUAACUGUCUGAGAGUGUUGGGAGCAAUGCUACAUAAUACUAGGGAAAAAUCAUUUGAGUAGGCCUAGUUCUCCUGCCUACAGCCCAGCUAGGACAUUCCAGACAUAAUUGCAUUUUGGCCUCUGGUCACAACUGAGACCUCAGUGAUCCCCCCCCCCCCAUGCUGCAAUCUCCAGGACAAGACCACACCUGUGGGAGAUGCCAGGGAGGAACCAAAUCUUCAUCUGCAUAAUUCCUCAUUGUUCUUAGAUUUCCACUGCCCCCCAGCUUUUUGUUACACCUUGUUUAUCCCAAUGUGAAGUACUGAACUCUAUUUUUCACUUGUUACAUUUGUUUCCCCAUGUACUGAAUAAAAGGUGCUGGAAGCUAGACGGUUUUUGUCUUUGCCACCCAGAGCAGCACUGAUCAGACCCAAAGCUCAGCUUCUUCUCAGUCUCAUUUGUCUACCUUUCCUGUAAUUCGCUGUGUGCUGCCAUGGCUCACAGGUGACUAGGACUUACUGCAGAGGUUCUGGUAAUGUCCCCUUCCCCUGUUCCCUACAUGAGAGUGUUCAUAUUUUACAAAGAUGAGGGGAAAGUCAGAGGUUGGGGCUGGUGAGGCUUCUCAGUGAUUUUUCAUGGAGAUUUUGCUGGUUUCUGAGUGAUGAUGUGGGCUUUAAAAAUAUAUGGACCAUUUGAUUUUCAGAUACCUAGGCAAUCAAGGUGAUAUUUGUGUUAUCAUGCUUUUUGUGUGUCAGGUAGGAAAAAAAUUGUCAGUUGGGAAAUAAUGCUGUUUUUUUAUUCCUUAGCAUUUAGAGUUUAAAUAUAAUGACUUUAGUAAUAAUCCUACUAAUAACUAUAUGUGUCUUGGUAAGAUAUACUAUUUUUUCCACAGUAUUGACCAUUUAAUCAUUGAAGGUGUUAUGUGAAGAGAAUAUGAUGACUCUGAGAAUGUUGCUGGUACUGAAGUUUUGAUGGGAUCCAAAGAGUGUUAACGGUUCCCUAAUGAUGAAAGUGGACCAAGGUUAUUUGUUGGUAUCUUGAUAGAACAGACUGUGUCCUUAAAUGUAUUUAUCACAUGGAUCUACUUAGGUUCCAGUCAAGACAUCACUGUGUACAUACAUGUUUAUUAAUGGAGCUUUCCAGGUAUCCAGGCAAGUGAUAAGGAAGGAUAGAUAACACCCUUGACUAACACUGAGAAACCAUGAAAUUAGAACUGUGACACUGGAACUUGUGUUCUCAAGUCUUUUGCUCUCCCAUCAAGCUCUUUCCAAGUGCACAGAGAUGAGCUGCUGUUACAUUUCUCAUUAAAGAUGUUGUUUCCAGACAUCAAGGUAAUUAAUGAUACUGUUGAAAUUCUUCUACUGAAAUUGUUUUUGGUAUGUGUGCAGAUGAAAUAAUGGCCAGCUUAAGUGGGAAUGCUCAGCUUAACUGAGGGUGAUUCUGCAUGUGGGUGACCCACCUAAGGAUUGUUGCCAGAACUGCAUAAAAGGAGGAUAGGAGGGGAGGAAUGCUGGCUGCUGAUUUCCCAGGAGAAGCUUUGUUGGAACUGGAACUCAGUGGCUUUUCUUGCUGUUGCUCCCUCAGUGGGUGGGUGGGGGGGGGUGCUGGUCUUUGCCUUUGUCUUGAGCAUCACUCCCUGGUUCCAGUGCAGAUCCCUCAGUGUUCUGGCACAGAUUGUUCACCCUGCCGGCAUAGACUUUUGAGCUUCUACCACUGGCCCUUGGGCCUUUUGGUGCAGAUUCUUGAUAUGAACUUGCAUGAGACAUUGCUGAGGGCUGUAGGCCUCUGGCUGGACUCAUGUGGAAUAUUAUGUGGAAAGAUCUAUUGCACUUUUCUGGGUUUGACUUUUUGGGAGAAUAUUGUAAGACAGUCCUAUAAAUUUGUAUAUCCUGUGGUAAAUCUGUUUCCUUGGAAACACCGACUAGAACAGUAUGUUUAUAGGUAAAAAAUAAAUUUGUAACAGUAAACAUGGAUUUUUCUUUAUUUGCAGGUAUAGACAUGCAAUAAGAUGUGCACCAAACACUGGGAUUUUUAGAUUUCUGUCAAGACCUUAUAGUAACCCUUUCAACUGUUGGUCAGCACACCAUGUAGGUAGGUGGUUUCAUGUAGGUUCUGAUGUAGGCCCAAACCACAGCACAGCUUGGCAAUCUUACUGGUUUUACCUUCUCAAGUAUUCUUAAAGAUGUAUUUUCUAAAGCCUUUGCAGAUUUCUAUCAUGAGAUCACAGUUAAUCUAACAUCAGCCUUUAAUGGCAGACAUUGCUGUUAUGCAAACAAGUGCUGAUGUAGACCAAAACUAAAGCACAGACCACCUGAUCUUCAGAUCACAUGAGGCAAGUGGUUAUGGUUUCCCUACCACUUGCCAUCAUGAUUUCUUUGCCAGUAUUCAGGUGAGGAAUAAUAACAUCCUUAGGAACACUUGAAACCAUGCAGUUUCUUUUCUGUAUUUCAGAGAGAAUGUGUAACCCUGUAAGGAGGUUGCACAUAUCCAAGUAUUUAUCACAUAGUCCCAACUAUAGUAAUCAUAGGAACUAGGCAGAUAUUCCACGAAGAAAUGUUGUCUUAUCUGACAUUAUCCUUGACCUUGGAGAACCACAAGAAUCCAGGUAGAGUCCUGUGAUCAUGGAUGUAAUAGAAGCUAUUCAACAGUUCCUGGUAGGUUGUGUCUUGAUUCCUGUCAAGGGUUAACAGUGAACUUAAAAAGUUCAUUAUCAGGAGAUAUUUCUGUAUUAGAGUAAAUAUUUUCAUGUACAGCACAUGCCAGACCGACCAUUAGAUCAUCAAAUAUCUGGGUCAGUGAUGUUUGUUUCCCUACAAUUUUUAUCAUAUGAUUAAAAAAAUGUAAGUAUGUAGAUAAGGAAUGCAGUAUUUCAUAUUCUAGAAACCAUAUUAUUGCAUUAUCUUACAUUUAGAGAGAAUUUACCCUGGGAAUUUCAAAUGACUUUCAUGUACUCAGGUUAUUAUUAUGCAUUUAUGCAUCAUGGUAGUUAACAAGUUAAAUAUUAGCAGUCAUGAGAUAAUGAGGUUUGGAACAAUGAUGUUCAUCAUAAAAUAAUCAAGAAUACAAGUAGAGUUGAUGAGUCCAGGUAGAAAUGAAAUCUUGCAAUAAUGACAAUAAAGAAAGUUAUUUGAAGGGUCCCAGUAGAAAAGUCUUACCAUACAUAUACUUGUCACCCAUGUUUUUACAUUUCCAUGCAGAUACGGUGGUAAGUCUCAUGAUGACCAACAGUGGCAGUUUGUUGUAUCCAUGGCCAUGAUGAUCAAGAGGGAUAUUGUAAGUGUGGGGUUCUUACAUUUAUUUUAGCAUGUUUCCUGUACAUAUUUAGUAAAGGAAUGAUUCUGUUUACCACUGCUAGUAACAAGUAGCUUAUUAUAUAAAGUUUUGAUAAACUCUGAAUUUAAUCCUAGGAGGUGUGGAGGCAUAUGCAGGGAUCCAUGUAAGUUAUUCAACUGAUCCACAUCACAGUAUUGACCAUAAUUUUUUCUACAGGUAGCCAGCCAAGAGAAAAUGGUGUGAAGAACAACAUCUCUGACCUUGAAGUUCUAAAGAUCUAAGUACUUCAGUUGGUUUCCCUGAUGAUGGAGGUGACCAAAAUUUUAAAGUUGUCCUUUUUUUCUCCCCUCAGGUGAAAGAUGAUGCGUCCUAAACACACAUCUCAAAGUGUUGUCUAAGAUUCCAACAGUUAUUAAAUUAUAGUGAUUGAACUUAAGAAUGGUAAUUUAUGAAAUGUUAUGACUAACCUGGUAAGUAAGAAAUUGUCCCUACCAAGAUGCCAACAAAUAACCUUCAGAUUUCUUGGUAAAGUGGAUGGGAUAUCUAACACAAUGUUACCCUGGCUUUUUGGCAGGUAUUCCAUUAAGUUUUAUCCUAGUGUACAGGUUUGUUGACUUUAAAUCAUUAGAGGCAUUUCUUAUUUUUUGGUAUUUAUAUCAUGAAUGAUGCUUUUGAACUCCUGUGGUAACCUCUGCUUAGAACACAGUUCAAAAUAUGAUUUGUCAGUAAUGCUUUUUGUAAAUAUGAGAUUGUACUAUGGACUUAUUUAGAGAUUGUGAUAGGUUAUUGUAUAGGGAUGCAGGUCAUUGACCAUAUUUCCUAUCCCCUAGUAUUGACCAUGGGAAUUUUGCUAGUGUUUCUUCCAAACAAGAUGGUAUUUCUUAGUAGGCUUUUACCUCAGUGUUCAGCUUUAGCCAUGUAAUUGUGAUAAGAAUAUGAUUUGUCAUGUUGAACGCCAUGACCAAGGGAAUGUGUCAAUGUCUUCCUUGAAUGACAUAGGUUCCAAAAUCAUUUUUCAUGAUUUGAUUUUCAAGUUCCUCUGAAGACACUGUGAUUAUCCUACCCAUGGGAGUGAGUAAAGUCCAUAGAGGGUUAUGAGGUAAGUGCUGAGGUACCCUAAACCAGAUCUUCAUCUAUAGAGGAAAGGGAUGAGGGUGUCCUGACUAUUACUAGAUUUAGUGGUCACUGCUCCUAUAAGAAAUAAUUUUGUCCUUCACAGUUCUAGUAAAUAUGAGUUUAUCCUUUAUAUGCCAUAGGGAAAAUUGGUGUUUUAGCAAGGACUGCUGAGGGAGUGAUUAUGAACUGGUUAAUUGAAAUUAUUGUGGAACUCUAGGACUGCAGUAAGCAUAGGUUAAUUUCCAGGGUGUGGAGAUGACAAAAUAUGGGCUCUCUGACAAUACUGUUUUUGUUUGGUGAAUCCAAGUAUCCUGAGGAGUUUAGCUGUCCUUUAGCAAUGGACAUUAAAAAGGGAGUGGGCUCAUGUUCUGACACAGCACCUUCUAUGCCAAACUGGCUUUGUAUUUUUUUCAGAUGCCCUUCAAGAGAACACAGUGAUCCAGAAAAGAUGGUUGUUGCAGUCACCCUAGUAACAAGGUAUCCUGCCAAAAGGUCUUGGGAGAUGCUGCUACCCUCAGCCAUGCAACACCUUCUUCUUUACUGAUGUACAUUGUGGGAGGGCACUUGGGCACACUUUGCUUUUCCCCACUGAUUCACCUGUGUGCCAGUGAAGGUGAAAUCUUCCCAGUGGCUGCUGGGACAGUCAUGUCACAGUGAGCAGCACAGUAUAAUCAGGUGGAUGCAUACAGACAUCCAGGUUCCUUCAAGGGAAGAUGAGCAGACUAUGGCUGGAACUGCAUGCAGGUGUCAGGUGAGAAUCAGCGUGCUGGUACCUCAUUGGGCACCAAGUGAUGGUCUGUAUUCAGAUGGAUGUGAAGAGGGUGUGCAUGAGGUAUUCGCAUGUUUCCUAGACAUGCACCCUCUAAGGUCUUGACUACUGAGUGGUUCAGAGUUUGUGCCACACUCAGCAUCAUAGCCUUUUUUUCUGUGACAGAUUGGCUAUUGAUGGUGAACCUCUGAUUCUGCCCUCUUCAUCGACAAGUGUGGUGCUCUGUGCCUUCUUGCUGUCACGAGGAAGCAUCAGAUGCUAUUGGUUCCCUUCCAGGAGAGAUGACGUGUAUUUCACACUUGUCCCACUAGGGGAGUAAGCAGGGCAUGAGGUCACUGUGACAGAGUGGGUCCCUGAGAUGGGGAUUGGAGUGAAUUGGGAGGUAUCUCCUCAAAGGCAUCCAUUACCAUUGCAUGGCUAGUUUGUUGACAAGAAGGAGGGAGGAGCGUGGUGGUGGUGAUGGAACCUGAAUGAUAGGAUGACAUGGGAGUUGUACAGGUAGACACGGAGGAGACCACAAAGGGUAGAAUCUCUUGUGCUUCUUUUCCAGUGAGGGAGUCCACAGCUCAUGGUGAGCCCUGAACAUCACCAGGAUCUGUAUAAGGACAGCCAUGGACCUUCACUGCAGCAUAGGCAGGGAAUAUCCAUGGCCUUCACUAAGUGAUAUUGGGGUCCCUGAUGUGGAGUCGUGGGGUAGUGGGGUUGCUGUGACUUUGCUUUAGGUUCUGGAGCCCAGGAGAGCAAUGAAGGAAGAACUGAGCCAAUCCACUGACCCUGAAUUUUUCCUUCGUGUAUAGUGAAGUAAAAUGAAUGUUGAUCUUCUCUACAUCCUUGGAGUGCUUAUUCUUUGGUCCAGUGGUGUUGUGAUGGACCACCCUGCCCAGGAGAAAGCACAGAAUUCUUUGCAGGUCAGUAGUUGAUGAUAAUGAGUCUCAGGAUGAGAGUUUUGCACUCAAAUUGCUUCUGGUAUCAGAGUGAAGAGAAAGCCUUUGUGCCAGUGGUGAUGCCAGAGCACAGCCCAGUGUUCUUGCAGAGCAAAGGAUAAGGUUUUAGCAGGGUGUGGUUUGCCUUCCUUUCAGAUAUCUGCAGUGAUGAAAAAAUGUUUGUUGUGGUGAGAUUGCUGAUGAUAGAUGAGACCUCUGUGCAUGUAGCCUGGCUACAGGGCAUGAUAUUCCUU
rnacentral:lncRNA from 1 species